rnacentral:rRNA from 1 species
GAUGAACGCUGGCGGCGUGCCUAAUACAUGCAAGUCGAGCGAAUGGAUUGAGAGCUUGCUCUUAUGAAGUUAGCGGCGGACGGGUGAGUAACACGUGGGUAACCUGCCCAUAAGACUGGGAUAACUCCGGGAAACCGGGGCUAAUACCGGAUAACAUUUUGAACCGCAUGGUUCGAAAUUGAAAGGCGGCUUCGGCUGUCACUUAUGGAUGGACCCGCGUCGCAUUAGCUAGUUGGUGAGGUAACGGCUCACCAAGGCAACGAUGCGUAGCCGACCUGAGAGGGUGAUCGGCCACACCGGGACUGAGACACGGCCCAGACUCCUACGAGAGGCAGCAGUAGGGAAUCUUCCGCAAUGGACGAAAGUCUGACGGAGCAACGCCGCGUGAGUGAUGAAGGCUUUCGGGUCGUAAAACUCUGUUGUUAGGGAAGAACAAGUGCUAGUUGAAUAAGCUGACACCUUGACGGUACCUAACCAGAAAGCCACGGCUAACUACGUGCCAGCCGCCGCGGUAA